rnacentral:rRNA from 1 species
UCUCGCAAAUUAUCCUCAUAAGUUCAACGAAAAGAGGUGCCUACUAUUUUUUAUUUUAAUUUAAUUUAAUCAUUUAAGUUAAAAUAGAGAAUGUAAGGUUAAGAAAAUCGGAGGCCCCGACUGUUUACUAAAAACACAGGAAUAAGCAAAUACGAAAGUAGAAGUAUUUAUUCUGACAUUUGCCCGAUGCCAUUAAUAUAAAAAAGGUCAUUGAAAAAUGUGACUAAUUGAAAGUCUGGUUAAUAGCGGUCUUAACUAUGAGGAUCCUAAGGUAGCAAAAUCAGUUGGCCAUUAAAUGUGGUCCGGUAUCAAUAAUCUAACGAUGGUCUCACUGUCUCUACAACUUGCUCAGUGAAAUUGAAUUACCCGUGAAGAUGCGGGUUAUCUGUAGGGGGACGGGAAGACCCUAUGCAGCUUCUCUGG